GAUGAACGCUGGCGGCGUGCCUAAUGCAUGCAAGUCGAGCGACGCAUUCCCGGUUCGUAAGAACUGGGUCUGACGGAGCGGCGAACGGGUGAGUAACACGUGAGCAACCUGCCCCGAAGACCGGGAUAGCCCAGGGAAACCUGGAUUAAUACCGGAUACCCUCUCGAGACCACAUGGUCAUGCGAGGAAAGCCUUUGUGCUUCGGGAUGGGCUCGCGGCUUAUCAGCUAGUUGGUGGGGUAACGGCCUACCAAGGCAUCGACGAGUAGCUGGUCUGAGAGGACGAUCAGCCACACUGGAACUGAGACACGGUCCAGACUCCUACGGGAGGCAGCAGCAGGGAAUCUUGCGCAAUGGGCGAAAGCCUGACGCAGCAACGCCGCGUGGGGGAUGAAGGCCUUCGGGUUGUAAACCCCUUUCAGGAGGGAAGAAAUUGACGGUACCUCCAGAAGAAGGACCGGCCAACUACGUGCCAGCAGCCGCCGUAACAC
rnacentral:rRNA from 1 species